AGGAUUAACGCUGGCGGCGUGCAUGAAACAUGCAAGUCGAGCGCGGUGUGAUGCGGGGUAACCCAAUUCACAUCUAGCGGCGAACGGGUGAGUAACACGUGAGCAACCUACCUUUGAGUUGGGGAUAGCCCUGGGAAACCAGGAUUAAUACCCGAUGUGGUCACAACAGGACAUCCUGAUGUGAGUAAAGGCGUAAGCCGCUCAAUGACGGGCUCGCGGCCUAUUAGCUUGUUGGUGAGGUAACGGCUCACCAAGGCUUCGACGGGUAGCUGGUCUGAGAGGACGAUCAGCCACACUGGGACUGAGACACGGCCCAGACUCCUACGGGAGGCAGCAGUGGGGAAUCUUGCACAAUGGGCGAAAGCCUGAUGCAGCAACGCCGCGUGAGGGACGAAGGCUUUCUGAGUUGUAAACCUCUUUCAGCGAGGGACGAUUGUGACGGUACUGCAGAGACGCCCGCACUACGUGCCAGCA
rnacentral:rRNA from 1 species